UGGGGAAUAUUGGACAAUGGGCGCAAGCCUGAUCCAGCCAUGCCGCGUGGGUGAUGAAGGCCCUAGGGUUGUAAAGCCCUUUCGGCGGGGAAGAUAAUGACGGUACCCGCAGAAGAAGCCCCGGCUAACUUCGUGCCAGCAGCCGCGGUAAUACGAAGGGGGCUAGCGUUGCUCGGAAUUACUGGGCGUAAAGCGCACGUAGGCGGUUUCUUAAGUCGGGGGUGAAAUCCUGGAGCUCAACUCCAGAACUGCCUUCGAUACUGGGAAACUUGAGUUCGGGAGAGGUGAGUGGAACUGCGAGUGUAGAGGUGAAAUUCGUAGAUAUUGGGAAGAACACCGGUGGCGAAGGCGGCACCCUGGACCGUUACUGACGCUGAGGCGCGAAAGCGUGGGGAGCAAACAGGAUUAGAUACCCGCGUAGUCC
rnacentral:rRNA from 1 species